UACGUAGGGUGCAAGCGUUGUCCGGAAUUAUUGGGCGUAAAGAGCUUGUAGGCGGCUUGUCGCGUCGUCCGUGAAAACCCACAGCUCAACUGUGGGCUUGCGGUCGAUACGGGCAGGCUAGAGUUCGGUAGGGGAGACUGGAAUUCCUGGUGUAGCGGUGAAAUGCGCAGAUAUCAGGAGGAACACCGAUGGCGAAGGCAGCUCGCUGGGACGGUACUGACGCUGAGGCGCGAAAGCGUGGGGAGCAAACAGG
rnacentral:rRNA from 1 species